rnacentral:rRNA from 1 species
GAUGAACGCUGGCGGCGUGCCUAAUACAUGCAAGUCGAGCGAACAGACGAGGAGCUUGCUCCUCUGACGUUACCGGCGGACGGGUGAGUAACACGUGGCUAACCUACCUAUAAGACUGGGAUCACUUCGGGAAACCGGAGCUCAUACCGGAUAAUAUAUUGAACCGCAUGGUUCAAUAGUGAACGACGGUUUUGCUGUCACUUAUAGAUGGAUCCGCGCCGCAUUAGCUAGUUGGUAAGGUAACGGCUUACCAAGGCAACGAUGCGUAGCCGACCUGAGAGGGUGAUCAGCCACACUGGAACUGAGACACGGUCCAGACUCCUACGGGAGGCAGCAGUAGGGAAUCUUCCGCAAUGGGCGAAAGCCUGACGGAGCAACGCCGCGUGAGUGAUGAAGGUCUUCGGAUCGUAAAACUCUGUUAUUAGGGAAGAACAAAUGUGUAAGUAACUAUGCACGUCUUGACGGUACCUAAUCAGAAAGCCACGGCUAACUACGUG